UACGUAGGGUGCGAGCGUUGUCCGGAAUUAUUGGGCGUAAAGAGCUCGUAGGCGGUCUGUCGCGUCGAUCGUGAAAACUUGGGGCUUAACCCUGAGCUUGCGGUCGAUACGGGCAUGACUGGAGUUCGGCAGGGGAGACUGGAAUUCCUGGUGUAGCGGUGGAAUGCGCAGAUAUCAGGAGGAACACCGGUGGCGAAGGCGGGUCUCUGGGCCGAUACUGACGCUGAGGAGCGAAAGCGUGGGGAGCGAACAGG
rnacentral:rRNA from 1 species